UCUAUUCUUUGAUGCUGUGAGCACAAUUAAAUGAUAUUUGGUUGUGCCUUGACUGUGUAACUAGCCUUUUCAGGGACGGCGUCAUCUGGUAUCGGUAAUCAUAUAUAUCACAUGAGGUGGGCAUCGUCUGAACCGGGAUACGCAGAACACCUGGUCGCAACGAUCUCGGAAUGGCUAAUGGCUAUUUUCAUAGUGAUGUUUUUUGUGACAUUCUACAAAGAGUUCAGAAAGUUCCGAUUGACAUCUCCACAAGUCGUAUUUGACAUCAAACCUGAAAUUGGCAACGAUCAACUAAAUCAUACAGAAAUAUUGGGAACAGAAUAUGUGGGCCAAAAUAACACCGGCACAUUCGGAUCCUUUCCAUAAGACAAUAUGGAGCUAUGAAGUAUCAUUUUUUGUUUUGACACUGUAUCCAGAAAUACCUUUUUGUUAAAAGUGAAUGCGUUUACGCACAGUAUUGAAUUUGUGACUUCCAUACCCCAUUUAAAUAUUUUUUUUAAUGAUGAGUUUUUGGAUAAAUUCGUGAGAAAUGAAAUGAUAGCAGCGUCUUUAUACUACCCAUGAUUUUUGUAUGUUUAUAUUGUAAGUUUGCUAAACAUCCAUGCGGCAAUGAAUUAAGUAUCCCUUACACAGUGGUAAAUCAUGUUAAGUGCCGUAAGACACCGUUCUCUUGAAAAUAAAUCAUUCGACACAUGAUAAUGAUUUACUAGAGAAUCACUCAGAAAUAGUAAUCUUUAACUGAGGUAUAUUCUUUGAUUAAAUGGAAGCGUACAUGGUUUAUACUACACGUAGAUUGGUUGUAUUCCACACCUCCACAAAAUGCCCAAUUGUUAUACUUUUUACCUGUAGUUUGACCCACAUGUAUGUUUUCCUCAAUUACGACACAUAUUCUAGUUUAGUCCGCAGUCUGAUAAACUUAAUGCAUAUGUAUUUUAUUGAUAAAACUUAUACAUGUAUGCUAUAUAUAGACUACAGGUAAAAACAAAGGGAACCAUAGCAUUUGGUCCUCACCUGUGGAGAUGUAGUGUACUACAAGGCUACCCAGGUCCUAUCCUUCCGAGUCCUAGUUUAGGUACCGCUGGAGAAUUAGGAUUAAACCUCAACUUACAAUCACAUUAACUAAAAAAGAAAUAAAAAUAAGACAGGUGUGGUGA